GACAUUCUACCUCCAUUAGAUUUCUAGAGAACUGAGCUAGAAGCAUCUUAACCCAGCCAAUUUCUCAUGUAAAAGGGGAAAGAGUUUUGUGAAACCUUUACCCACAAGCAUAAUGAGUCUUAAACUCAGUAUUUUACCUCCAAAAAUACUACUGGGAAGAAAUAGAAAUGAAUUUGGACAAAUUCAUGAAUAACAUGGUUAGAAAAAGCUUUUCAGAAGAAUAACUGUUAAGAGCAAUGGAUAAAGGCCCUGCUUGAGUUCCAGAUAGUUUCUUUGAGAGCUGAGAUGACAGCAGGGAUGGCAUUCUCCCAUGAGAUACCCCUCAGCCCCCAUGGACUCUUUACUUUCCUUAAUAACAGAGUUAACAAGAAGGACAUGGGCCAGAGAUGAAAUAAUCGAGAAGUUGCUAAGGAUGCUCUCACACACAUCCUAAAUAUCAGUGAAGCUACACGGAGUCCUGGUUCAUAAAGAUUUCCCUUAAAAUGUCAAAGUUUGAUUCUUAAAAUAAACAUCCUUGUGUG